rnacentral:rRNA from 1 species
UACCAGCUCUCCGAGUGGUAGGGAUGUUUAUUGGGCUUAAAGCGUCCGUAGCCGACUUAGCAAGUCUCCUGUUAAAUUCAGCGACCUAAUCGUUGAGCCGCGGGAGAUACUACUAGGCUAGGAGGCGGGAGAGGUCAACGGUACUUCCGGGGUAGGGGUGAAAUCCUAUAAUCCCGGGAGGACCACCAGUGGCGAAGGCUGUUGACUAGAACGCGCUCGACGGUGAGGGACGAAAGCUGGGGGAGCGAACCGGAUUAGAUACCCGGGUAGUCCCAGCUGUAAACGAUGCGAGCUAGGUGUUGGGGUGGCUACGUGCCACUUCAGUGCCGCAGGGAAGCCAUUAAGCUCGCCGCCUGGGGAGUACGGCCGCAAGGCUGAAACUUAAAGGAAUUGGCGGGGGAGCACCACAAGGCGUGAAGCUUGCGGUUC